AUGGAGACGGCGGAGGAACCCUACGCCUACGCCUCCGACUCUUCCGCCUCCCAUACCGGCGCCGACGCCCCCGCCUCCAACCCGGGUGCCGCCGCCGGAGCGAGGAAGCGGAAGGCCCCGGCAGCCACGGCGAGGAAGCCUCGGAAGCAGCAGGCUCAAGAACCCAUUCAGAUCCCUGUAUACUAUGGACGAACCAAAGAGUUUUAUGGCGUGCAAGGCGAUGAUUUAGUUGAUUCUUCAUACAUUUCUCCUGGAGUAAAAGAUUGUGCACACGUUAUCGGCCAACUACCACUGCAGCCGCAGUCCAUGUCGUUGGUAGAUCUGCAACUCUGGAUCUUUAAGCUGUUCCGGCUCCAUCCAGAAACACAAGAUCUCUCUAUUAAGGGGUUCAUCAAACAACGGAAAACUGACUUGUUCGACGACUUCGAACCUGGCUGGUAUAUGGAGUACUGCCCGUGGGACACACGCUAUUUUCAAACUGACAAGUGCUGGAGUGCCUUUGCCAAUAAGUUAAAGCGGAAAAGGAAUGCGACACAAAAGUUCAUGUUGUAUGCAGAAUGCUCUGAGAUCAAGCACUAUGGUAUUUUGCUCAAAGCCGUGCACGAUGAUUACUCUCAGCUGGCAAGGGUUGUGUUUCCUGGGACGAAAUGCCUGACAACUUCUAACUUCCGUUUCCUCCGCCUAGUGGAAGACCUGUCAAUGACACCUAAGGAAAUUAUAGCUUAUCUCGCAGAACACUAUGGCGAGCAGAUGAACCCCCCUGAGGCGUGGAGGGCCAGACAGAAGGCUCUGGAGCGGGAGUUUGGUACAUUUUACGAUUCACACAACUUUGCCCCAAGGUUACUUAAGGACAUAACAUGUAAAACCCCUUGGGGUUUUGUAGACAUCAAGGAUGCGGAGGUUGCAGGAUGUAGCAACUUUCGAGUCCUCCACCGUAUAUUUUGGGCUUUUGGGCAGUGUGUGCAGGCCUUCAAUCAUUGUCGCCCUGUGCUAUGCAUUAAAGGCACACCACUAUGCGGGAAAUACCAAGAGGUGUUGCUGACUGCUAUAGCAUUAGAUGCUAAUGGUUACUCCAUUCCAGUAGCAUGUGCCGUCGUUGAGGGGGAGACCGAGGAAAGCUGGAUGUGGUUUCUUAGGAAUUUGGAGCAAGCAGUGAGGCAUCCAUCGGAUGUUUGCAUUUUACAUGACUACAAAAGAGAGUUGAUCGAUGCUAUAGAGGACUUUCUAAGUUCCGACCAACGACAAUGGCGGAAAGUAGAAAGCCGGUGGUGCAUGGAACACCUUGCCGAAGACUUCUUUGCAUAUUUUGGUGACAAGAACCUGGUGUUGAUGUUCAAGAAACUUUGUCAGCAGAGGCGACUAAAUAAGUUUGUUAAAAUCUGGAAGGAGCUCGACGAGUUGACAACAAAAUAUACAUCAGAGAGAGAAGGUGGUACUAGUGAGGAAAUGCAGCAAGAGUUAGUCCAGCAUGAUGAGGCAGACCUGGAGGCACAAAGCCCAUGCAACCGACCUGAUUCAGUGGACUCUGAGGAGGAAGGAGAUCAUGCCAAUGAAAACGAAGGAAAGGUAACAAAGUUUUCUGACUGGAUCCGUCUGAAACCAAUGGAGAAGUGGUCACUGGUGCAUGACACAAAGGGAGCUAGGUACGGCAUCAUGGGCGCUGAUAUAUCAAAUAUAUACAAGAAUGACCCUGUAUUGAAAGGGAUAACAUGCCUUCCGCUCAGUGCGAUAGUGGAGGUGACAUUUCUGCGCUUGGUAGAGCACUUCAAAAACACAAGUGCUGCAGCAAAUGAAGCAAUUGGCAACCCAUCAAUGAACUUUCCUGAACGGGUCCAGGAUGACAUGAAUUCAAAAAUGGAGAAAUCCAAGAUGCAUCGCGUGAUUUGCCUAGACACCAAAAACAGAAAUGUUUUCCAGGAGAAACAGUUUCGGAAUUUUACAGUUCAAUCGAGGCAGAAGAAUGAGGUUGUUCACCUGAAAUCGGAAAGCAUAAGUAAGUUUGGCGAAUCCAUAAUACAAGAAAGUGCCACCUGUUCAUGCAACAAACCACAGCUGCUUCACAGGCCCUGCACUCAUGUCAUCGCUGUCUGUUGUCAGAUUGGGGUUAGCACUGCUACAUACAUGUCUCCAUACUACAGCCUGGCCUACCUAGGUAGUAUCUGGAGUGGAAAUUUUGAUGAAUAUAAGAUCUCACAGGGUUACAGAAAUAUCACGCCAUUUGAAUGCAACACAACAACUUGGAUCCCAGACAAAAUGUUGGAGUGUGGUCUUCCUGUUUUUGUAACAUCAGACUGCCUAGAAACUGUUGCGGAUGAGUCAGAGCAACAACACAACACUGGAAAUGGAUCAACUGAAGACAAUCAAGGAACGACAACACGCACUGAAGAACCUAAUGAGAUUUAA
rnacentral:rRNA from 1 species